rnacentral:lncRNA from 1 species
UCGAUACAUAACCCUAAAUGUCCAAGAUUUAACCACAAAAAGACAAAUUGUAAAUUCAAUACUAGAUUGAGUUGUGAUGUUUACAUCAAAUUGAGUUGUAGAAGGUGUUGAGACACAAAUGUUUAAUUGAUUAGAGUGCUGUCCUUGCUCAUGAGGAGAUAGGCUUCCAUUGCUGGGGUUUGGAGGAAUAGCAGGUGGCCGUGCUUCGACUUUCUUUUUGGUGGCAUCUGUAUGAACAUUAAAAUAACCAACAAUGGAUCAAUAAAGAAAAGAAAAUUGUUCCUAGAACAGUAUGAGCAUGAAUACCUGGAUAAAUCAAUUUUGAACAUGAUAUCUUGCAUAACCAUUACCUCCUGCAUUGACGACAGAGAUGACUAAAUAAAAGUAACAACAUUAAGUUCAAUCUUGUGCGCCAACCUUAAUGUGGACUAUAGCGAACUCUGACAAAUUAAAUUGAAACACAGAAAAUUCAGCUAAUUGUUAGUUUUUCAGCAAGACUAGAAAUCACCAUAUAAAUAAAGUUUAAAGCAUGUCAAGGAAGUUGUGAAACACCUUUCUUUGAUUAGCUGUAGAUCCAAAUGAUGUAAAUCUAAGACUGUUUUUCCAAGCAUUCCAAAUUCUGGAAAAAACUCCUGUCUAUUCUCUUCUAUAUUAACACAACCC